rnacentral:telomerase_RNA from 1 species
UCGGGUGCGUGGGUGCUAUGGUCCACAUUCGAAAAUUUUAACCCUAAACCACUCCGUAAUAAUCGGAGGUGUCCUAUUAAAUGUGGGUUUAGAUAUGGUUUGCUUUUCCCGGGUUUUCCUUUGACCCAUUUCUAAAAAUGGAAAACCCGAUGCCCCGAGCGUUUGUGGAUUCAUAGUAGUGGUUUAACCCGGAGUUGACUCGAAGGUUGGGCACUGCUUGACUUGUUUCGAACAAGUCUUCACGGUCCCUUUAUUCCUCGUCUCUCAAGCGCACCCAUCUUUU